UCCCUGGUGGUCUAGUGGUUAGGAUUUGGCACUUUCACUGCCACGGCCUCGGUUCAAUUCCCAGUUAGGGAA